GUAGAUUUAGUUUAACCAAGACAUUAGAUUGUGAUUCUAAAAAUAGAGGUUGAACCCCCCUAAUCCACC
rnacentral:tRNA from 1 species